rnacentral:rRNA from 1 species
UUGAGGAAUAUUGGUCAAUGGGCGAGAGCCUGAACCAGCCACGUCGCGUGAAGGAUGAAGGUUUUAUGAAUUGUAAACUUCUUUUGCAGGGGAAUAAAGUACGGUACGUGUACCGUUUUGUAUGUACUCUGCGAAUAAGGAUCGGCUAACUCCGUGCCAGCAGCCGCUGUAAUACGGAGGAUCCAAGCGUUAUCCGGAUUUAUUGGGUUUAAUGGGUUCGCAGGCGGGUUGAUAAGUCAGUGGUGAAAGUUUGCAGCUUAACUGUAAAAUUGCAGUUGAAACUGUCGAUCUUGAGUGCAAAUGAGGUAAGCUGAAUGUGUUGUGUAGCGGUGAAAUGCUUAGAUAUAACACAGAACACCGAUUGCGAAGGCAGCUUACUGGGAUGCAACUGACGCUCAUGCACGAAAGCGUGGGGAUCAAACAGGAUUAGAUACCCGUGUAGUCC